GAAGCCUUGGAGCUGGGCUCCCGCCAGCAGUGCAACUCUGUCACCCCUCCUGAAGGAGAAGGCAGGAAACCGGUGGCUUCCACGAAGCAGAAACUGAAAGCUGGUCUCACCAGAGUCCUUCCCCCAGCAUUCAGAUCCAGAAAUAGCAGAGGAAUUAGCAAGAGCUAUGCCAUGGACCAAGGACUGGAAGGAAAUUCAAUCCCUGCUUCUUGGUUUUUCCAAAGAGGACGCCAGCCCUCCAAGCCUCCCGCCUGUCCUUCCUGAGGGAACCUCACAGCACACCAAUAUUAUUGAUAAACCAAGCCCAUCCAACCCACCACCGUGAAGGCAACGUGAUUGGCUCUCAUCUACAUAUUCCUGGCAUUGUGAGGGACAGACUCCCAGGAUCAGAACCAGCCACAGACAACAUCCAGCACAGUCUGGAUUUAUGUGAACCCACAAGUUCCUGUUAUGGUUUCUACCUGGUUGUCCAGCCAAAGCCUCCUGUGCUCAGAGGCCUUGCCUGUGGAGGGUGACUGGAUCAUGGGGACGUCACAGCUGGCCUGGUGUCCGCAGGUGGG
ensembl:lncRNA